rnacentral:rRNA from 1 species
AUUGAACGCUGGCGGCAUGCCUUACACAUGCAAGUCGAACGGUAACAGGUCUUCGGAUGCUGACGAGUGGCGAACGGGUGAGUAAUACAUCGGAACGUGCCUAGUAGUGGGGGAUAACUACUCGAAAGAGUGGCUAAUACCGCAUGAGAUCUACGGAUGAAAGCAGGGGAUCGCCAGACCUUGUGCUACUAGAGCGGCCGAUGGCAGAUUAGGUAGUUGGUGGGAAAAAAGCUUACCAAGCCGACGAUCUGUAGCUGGUCUGAGAGGACGAUCAGCCACACUGGGACUGAGACACGGCCCAGACUCCUACGGGAGGCAGCAGUGGGGAAUUUUGGACAAUGGGCGAAAGCCUGAUCCAGCAAUGCCGCGUGCAGGAUGAAGGCCUUCGGGUUGUAAACUGCUUUUGUACGGAACGAAAAGCCCCGGGUUAAUACCCUGGGGUCAUGACGGUACCGUAAGAAUAAGCACCGGCUAACUACGUGCCAGCCGCCGCGGUAA